GCCCCCGCGCCCAUACGACUGUGGAUCUAGAACGCCGCGAACACCGGUGGAGAAAAAAAUCUCAAUGUUCAUCUGAUCCUUUUUCCUGCGGAUUUGGGGAAUCGGCGGCGGUCGUGAACAACUGGAAUCGCAAGUAUAUCCACCGUUCUUGAUUUGUGAGAAAAUUAUAUUUCCCUUUGGUUUCUUUUGGGCGAUAUCUUUGUGGUUUCUUGAGGGCACUAGGCGGACUAGAUACAUUGCGGAUGUCUUCCUGAGAUUAGCUUUAGAGCGCAUGCAUCUUUGUGUUGAUUGUGAUCGAUUUUCUGGGGAGAAUUGCUUCCUUCCUUGUAGCCUUGUGCAUUGCUAUUGUUGUUCUUUCUCUUUUCUUUUUAAUUUUUGAUAUAAUUUUCCUCUACUUUUCUUCUGUUGCUCUAUCUUUUCGCUCUCGUUUGAUCAAAAUCUUUAUGUCUGAUUAUCAUAGAAAUAUGAAUUGAUGUAAAGAACUAAAGAAGAUGAUUUCUUCUAUAAAAAUGUAGCUUAAUGUUGCUAUGCUGUGUAGCAUUACAUUCAGGGAUCAUGUUGCAUAAGUAAUUCUUUGGCCAGCAUAUGCAGGUACCCGUAUCGUCCCGGCCUGAUUUAUCUUAUGACAUUAAUGGAGCCCAAGAGUGGGAGCUGUAUCCAUCUUCUUGCAUUGCUGCAGAGGUCAUCGACUACACACCAAUUUCCGUAGAAGGCAAUGAUCAAAAUAGAGACUUGACAGUCUCGCUGAAUACCAUUCUCCCUGCUGAUCUCUUGGAGAAAGUCAUCUCCUUGUUACCUGUUGUGAGUGUCAUAAGAUCUGGAUCAGUCUACUGGUCGAGGACGAUGUGCUUGCCGAUGGGGAGGCCCUUUGUUGCAGUUCCCUUUCUUGCAGGACGACGGUAGCAUGCUCAGCGCAUCCCGCCCUGCUCUUCUUGUGGCUGAAUCUUCGAGUGUGCUCAGUGCAUCCCAGCGUGCCCUGAGUGUGCUCUCUCUCUCUCUUCUGUCACCGUUGCUGCAUCCUCCCUCCCCUGCCGGAACGUCUGAUAUGAUAAUCCCAUGUUUCAGGAUCAUGUGAGGACCAGUACUUACAGAAAUGCUAUCAUGCAUCACCAAGAUCUAAUCUCAGGCAAGGUUGUUUUGGAUGUGAACUGUGGCACUGGUGUUCUUUCCAUAUUUUGUGCUUUUGCUGGUGUUCCGUUUAAGGAAACUAAAUAUGUGGCAAUGACAAACACCAUCAGCACCCAUGUUUACUCUUUUUGUGUUUUGAAGAGUAUUUCUAUUUGUUACAGAGAAAUUUGACUUUAUCUUUUGUUAGAACACAUGUAGUAUUUUGUUUAAUACUAAGAGUUCUCUUUUUCAUGAGUGCUGUAAAUUGUUCUUAAGUUUUCUAUAUAUUGUGAUUUAUUUCCUGAUUCAAAUGAAAGAUUUUCCUUUUUCAUUCAUUUAUAAUUCAUCUCCUUGAAUGAGUUUAUUAUGUUUUCAGGUUUAUGCAAUCGAUGCAAGUGAUAUUGCAUUGCAGGUAGAUCCUUCUGACUCCCUCUACUCCCUUCCAAAU